UACGGGGGAGCAAGCGUUGUUCGGAAUUACUGGGCGUAAAGGGCGCGUAGGCGGCCUGCUAAGUCGAACGUGAAAUCCCCGGGCUCAACCCGGGAACUGCGUCCGAUACUGGCAGGCUUGAAUCCGGGAGAGGUGAGUGGAACUGCGAGUGUAGAGGUGAAAUUCGUAGAUAUUCGCAAGAACACCAGUGGCGAAGGCGGCUCACUGGCCCGGUACUGACGCUGAGGUGCGAAAGCGUGGGGAGCAACAGG
rnacentral:rRNA from 1 species